rnacentral:rRNA from 1 species
UCUCUGAUGUUAGCGGCGGACGGGUGAGUAACACGUGGAUAACCUACCUAUAAGACUGGGAUAACUUCGGGAAACCGGAGCUAAUACCGGAUAAUAUUUUGAACCGCAUGGUUCAAAAGUGAAAGACGGUCUUGCUGUCACUUAUAGAUGGAUCCGCGCUGCAUUAGCUAGUUGGUAAGGUAACGGCUUACCAAGGCAACGAUGCAUAGCCGACCUGAGAGGGUGAUCGGCCACACUGGAACUGAGACACGGUCCAGACUCCUACGGGAGGCAGCAGUAGGGAAUCUUCCGCAAUGGGCGAAAGCCUGACGGAGCAACGCCGCGUGAGUGAUGAAGGUCUUCGGAUCGUAAAACUCUGUUAUUAGGGAAGAACAUAUGUGUAAGUAACUGUGCACAUCUUGACGGUACCUAAUCAGAAAGCCACGGCUAACUACGUGCCAGCAGCCGCGGUAAUACGUAGGUGGCAAGCGUUAUCCGGAAUUAUUGGGCGUAAAGCGCGCGUAGGCGGUUUUUUAAGUCUGAUGUGAAAGCCCACGGCUCAACCGUGGAGGGUCAUUGGAAACUGGAAAACUUGAGUGCAGAAGAGGAAAGUGGAAUUCCAUGUGUAGCGGUGAAAUGCGCAGA